ACAAGGUUUCCGUAGGUGAACCUGCGGAAGGAUCAUUGUCGAAU
rnacentral:rRNA from 1 species